UACGUAGGGUGCGAGCGUUGUCCGGAAUUAUUGGGCGUAAAGAGCUCGUAGGUGGCUUGUCGCGUCUGCCGUGAAAGCCCAUGGCUUAACUGUGGGUCUGCGGUGGAUACGGGCAGGCUGGAGGCUGGUAGGGGCAAGCGGAAUUCCUGGUGUAGCGGUGAAAUGCGCAGAUAUCAGGAGGAACACCGGUGGCGAAGGCGGCUUGCUGGGCCAGUUCUGACGCUGAGGAGCGAAAGCGUGGGGAGCGAACAGG
rnacentral:rRNA from 1 species